GCUGGGAGCAAGCGGCUCAGACACUGCCAGCAGAGAUCCCAGGAGCUGGGGAAGACGAGGAACUGCACUCAGAAUAGAAAUACAGAUAAACCAUGAAAGUGAAAAUCGUUACGGGAAGCAGCAUGGAGUGUGUGUGCAGCAUGGGAAAGCGCAGGCAAUAAAGUGAAUGAAAAGUAACCGGUGCCUUUUUCCUGUUCCUGUGCAAGUGAAUCUAUCAUUGAUACUUAUCAAUAAUUGAAAUCUGAGCAUCUCCAGCGGAGACACCAUGUGCAGUGGAUGUAACAGGCUAUGGGCAAUGGAAGGGGUCACACCAGUGCCGGAGAAAUAAAACUCUCUGCUUUUGGAUGUAUCUGAGAGGGAUUUGUACUGAAUCUUGUGGUGACUGCAAGGAAUCCUGAUGAGGGGACGCCUGGCUGCAUUUCAUUUACACUGAGCCAGUAGCACUGUGUGCAAAGGAUAAAAAAAGUGCACUUUUAACCCAUCAGCUUAUCUUUUUCCUUCCAUAUUCUUUUCUACCUGGCUGGUUUACACUGCUACUGUGUAGGAGAUGCUGUGGUUCUUAUUGCUACUGUGCGCUGCGGAGGGGCUUCUCGCCCAGCUUGCCUACAAGGUGCAGGAGGAAAGGGACCAUGGUACUUUCGUGGGGAAUAUCGCUGAGGAUUUGGGCUUGGACAUUACAAAACUUUCCAAUCGCAGGUUCCAGACUGCGCCCAACUCAAGGACUCCUUACCUGGAGCUGAACCUGGAGAACGGGGUGCUGUACGUUAACGAGAAAAUAGACAGGGAGCAGAUCUGCAAGCAGAACCCAUCGUGCAUGUUGCACUUGGAGGUCUUCCUGGAGAACCCCCUUGAGUUCUUCCGAGUGGAGAUCGAGGUGCUUGACAUCAACGACAACCCUCCGGUUUUCCCCCAAUCUGACAUCCAGGUGGAGAUUUCCGAGAGCGCCACCCCAGGGACCCGCUUCCCCCUGGAGAGCGCCUACGACCUAGACGUGGGGAAUAAUUCCCUGCGCACCUACGAAAUCACCACCAACAGUUACUUCAACCUGGAUGUACAGACCCAAGGGGACGGCAACAAGUUCGCGGAGCUGGUACUGAAGAAGCAGCUGGACAGAGAGCAGCAAGCCCUGCACAGGUACGUCCUCACCGCCAUUGAUGGGGGCACCCCCCAAAGGACAGGGACCGCUCUGCUCACCAUCAAAGUGCUGGACUCCAAUGACAACGUACCGGUGUUCGAGCAGCAGAUCUACACCGUGUCUCUGCCAGAGAACUCGCCCCCAGGUACCAUGGUUAUACAGCUCAAUGCCACCGACCAGGAUGAAGGUCAAAAUGGGGAGGUGGUGUACUCUUUCAGCAGCCACAAUUCCCCCAAGGUGCGCGACAUUUUUGGCAUUGAUCCUCGAACUGGUCGAAUUGAGAUUAUAGGUGAACUCGACUACGAAGACAGCGGCUCCUACCAGGUAUAUGUGCAAGCUAAAGAUCUGGGGCCAAACGCUGUGCCUGUGCAUUGCAAGGUGCUGGUAAAGGUGCUGGACCUCAAUGACAACCCACCAGAGAUCAGCUUCAGCACGGUAAAGGAGUCGGUGAGUGAGAGCGCCUCCCCGGGCACUGUGGUGGCUCUGUUUAGCGUCACAGACAGGGACUCGGAGGAGAACGGGCAGAUCCAUUGCGAGAUCUUAGGAGACGUGCCAUUUCGCCUGAAACUCUCCUAUAAGAACUAUUACACUAUUGUGACAGAAGGGACCUUAGACCGGGAGGCAAUGGCCACCUACACUGUUACAGUUCUUGCCAGAGACAGGGGCACGCCGCCUCUCAGCUCCACCAAGUCCAUCCAGGUGCAGGUAGCGGACGUGAACGAUAACUCCCCACGCUUCACUCAGGCCAUUUAUAACGUGUAUGUCAUAGAGAACAACGUCCCUGGUGCUUAUAUCUCAGCAGUAAGUGCCACAGACAAGGAUGAGGAAGAAAACGCUAACAUUUCCUAUUACAUUCUGGAGUGUGACAUUCAGGGUAUGUCAGUCUUCACCUAUGUAUCCAUCAACUCAGAGAACGGCUACCUCUACGCCUUGAGGACAUUUGAUUAUGAACAGCUCAAGGAUUUCAGUUUUAUGGUUGAGGCUAGGGAUGGAGGGACACCCCCUCUAUCCAGCAAUGCAACUGUUAAUAUUAUCAUUGUGGAUCAGAAUGAUAAUGCCCCAGCUAUUGUGUCCCCCCAAGGCAGGAAUGGCACUGCCAAAGAAUUUCUCCCCAGGACAGCUGAGCCUGGUUACCUUUUCACCCGUGUAGUUGCUGUAGACUCGGACGAGGGGGAGAAUGCCAGACUCACGUACAGUAUUUUAAGGGGUAAUGAUAUGAGUCUCUUUCGAAUGGACUGGAGGACAGGCGAACUAAGGACUGCACGUAAAAUAACCAAUAAAAGAGACCCACACAGGCCAUUCGAGUUGGUAGUGGAAGUGAGGGACCAUGGCCAGCCACCACUGUCUUCAACUGCCCUCAUCCAGGUGCAGAUUGUGGACAGCUCGGUGGAAAGGCAAGGGGGUGAGCAGAGGCCCAGCAGAUCCAGUGACACAGCCUUGGACCUAACUUUAAUUCUUAUAAUCGCUCUAGGUUCUGUCUCCUUCAUCUUCCUAUUAGCUAUGAUUGUACUGGCCAUCAGGUGCCAAAAGGAGAAGAAACUGAACAUUUACAGCUGUUUGGCUAGUGACUGCUGCAUGUGUUGCUGCUCUUGCUGUAGCAGACAAGCCAGGGCUCGCAAGAAGAAGCUCAGCAAGUCGGACAUCAUGUUGGUGCAGAGCUCCAAUGUGCCCAGCGCUACCCAAGUGCCUGUGGAGGACUCCAGCAGCUUCGGGUCUCACCAUCACAACCAGAAUUAUUGCUACCAAGUUUGUCUAACUCCGGAGUCUGCCAAAACUGACCUGAUGUUCCUCAAACCUUGCAGCCCCUCCAGGAGCACUGACACUGAGCACAACCCCUGCGGAGCCAUAGUGACAGGGUACAGUGACCAACAACCAGAUAUCAUUUCCAAUGGAAGCAUCUUGUCCAGCGAGAACAAACAGCGCACUGAACUCAGUUAUCUAGUUGACAGACCACGACGGGUAAACAGUUCUGCAUUCCAAGAAGCAGACAUAGUAAGCUCUAAGGAUAGUGGUCACGGAGACAGUGAACAAGGAGACAGUGAUCAUGACGCCACAAAUCGAGGUCAAUCUUCUGGCACGGAUCUGUUCUCUAACUGCACAGAAGAGUGCAAAGCAUUGGGUCACUCAGACCGCUGUUGGAUGCCUUCCUUUGUACCUUCUGCUGAUGGCCGCCAGGCGGCAGACUACCGCAGUAACCUUCAUGUGCCCGGUAUGGACUCGGUUCCGGACACAGAGGUGUUUGAAACACCUGAGGUGCAGCCCGGAGGGGAGAGGUCAUUUUCAACUUUUGGCAAAGAGAAGGCUUUGCAAGGGCUGACAGGGGUUGGAAAUGGAAAUGGUAAUGGAGGAGGCAGCAACCAGGAGAGAAAGGAACUCGAUGGCCUGCUCUCCGGCACCAGAGCGCCUUACAAGCCUCCUUAUCUCAGUAUACAUUAGGAGGCCAAGAGCAGCUUCCUGUUCCACAGAAGAGGAAGUGAAGAGUACAAAGGAAAUCUGCUACUCCCGGAAAAGGAUAUGCUAGUCAAAUCUACAGAACUUACCUGAAGCAGCAUGAUUUGCACAAGUUGACCAACAAAAGCAUCAACUUUUCAACUUCAUUAUCCUGGCCACCCAGUGUGGAAUGACAGAAGGAUCAUUAGUCUGCUGCUGAAGUCAUGGCCAAUAUUCGGACCUUAUUGCUCUCAGCAGGCCUGAGAAAUGAGUUGAAAUGUGAAGAACUGUAGGAACUGCAGAGGCGACUGAUCUCGCCUUACUUAUCAGUGUGUGCCUGUUUACAGCACUCUAUAUAUCUUACUUUCUCCAAAAUGUCACUGAGCCCUUUAGAUGUUUAUAGUCACCACAAGAAGCCAAUCGUACUGAUAGAACGUGCAUUAUAAAUGCAAUAUCACUGUUUUAAACUUGACUGUUUUAUAUAAUUUUUUUGUGUGAUCAAGUGUUUCCCAAAUUACUCAAACUUUACAGGAGAGAUUGUGAUCAUGUUACAUACACCUGUGGGGGUCAAAAAAAAUGUUGUUUAUCCGCAGACCCACAAAAUAUCAAAGACAUUCUGUAGUUUAUACACCGUGUUGCAAAGUGUUUACUGUACUAUUUCAAAGCUUCUAAAUAAAUAUAAAGUAUAUAUAUAUUAUAUAAUUUUCUGAAAAAGUGGUACAAUUUAGUUGAUUUAUAAUAAAUUCAUUACAGUCCACACACAAUAAAUCCCUAUAAAUAAACAAUGGUCCAAAAUAGUUUAUCAUAAGAAUUUAAUAAUGUUUCAUACUGUCAGAUUUGGACCAAUUUCUAUUCGACUGUCCUCAGCGAGUCACAUUAUGGGGCAAUAUUGUCCUUCCCUUCUGAGUUUAGAUGGUUAAAGCAGCUGUAAGCUACAUCAAUUUGUACGGAAAUUUCAAUACCAAAGAUGCAGCUUCCCAGAGUGAGCACUAGACCUAUUAAGGCAUUUUUUGAUCUUCCUUAUUUUAACUUUGGGCUUUUAAUUUUACAGCUAAGUUUUAUAAAUAAUAAUUGAAAAAAAAAUCUGUAUAUGUUGUUAAACGCUAUACUGGAUACUCUGUACAGUUUUAAAUUGUAAGAUAUGUAUCUGAAGAUGACUAUUUUGAACAAUUAGCCCUAAACCAUAUAACUUACACGUAUCUUUCUCUAGCAUAGUUUUGUGGAAACUUGAAAACGAUAUAUCUUCUAAUCCUGCCUAGAAAUGUUUUUUAAUAGACAAAAUCAUGAAGCAUAGUGUUUUCCAAAUCAUUUUUUACACAGCCAGAUUUGAAGUUAGGAACAUGUCAUAUUAUUAACCUCUUCGAUAUUAUCUGUGUCUAUGAUAAUAUUUUUUCAUGGUUUAACUUGUAAUAUAUCUAUAUAUAUCUAUGAAGAAGAGUAAUAUGUUUUAUUAAAGAAACCAAGUGAUUCAUUACAGACAAUCAUUUAAAUUUUAACUUAACUCCAUGUCAGCAAAGUUGAAAUGAUCAUAUUGAAUAUAUUAAAAAGAUCUUUAUUUUUUAUUUUAUUUUUUCAUAUUCCAGUGUGUUCUUGACAAUGUUUCAGCUGUCAUAAACAUUCGAAACACAUUCUGUCAUUUGAAAAAUAUACUUUAAUGAGAAUAGUUUUAUCAUUUGCUCACCAUAAUUUGUUUUAUCUAUACUCAUCUAUCUAUAAACAGACAAUUUUUUAUCCGUUUGGUUGCAUAUAUUUACUUCAGAUUUUCCAUAAUUAUUAUUAUCAUACUGAGUCAAUGCUUUAAACGAUUUAUUCACUGUCCAAUGAUCGCAUUCAAUAAUGUCCCCCCCCAAAAAGGACGUAAUUAGAGGUCAUCUCAUUAUUAAAUGUGUGACAUACGGAAAAUGACAUUACCCUUCCAACAAUAAACAUGUCUUUAAUGAUAACUAUUUAA